rnacentral:rRNA from 1 species
AACGAACGCUGGCGGCAGGCUUAACACAUGCAAGUCGAGCGCAUCCUUCGGGGUGAGCGGCAGACGGGUGAGUAACGCGUGGGAACGUACCCUUUCCUACGGAAUAGCUCCGGGAAACUGGAAUUAAUACCGUAUACGCCCUUAGGGGGAAAGAUUUAUCGGGGAAGGAUCGGCCCGCGUUGGAUUAGCUAGUUGGUGGGGUAAAGGCCUACCAAGGCGACGAUCUAUAGCUGAUCUGAGAGGAUGGUCAGCCACACUGGAACUGAGACACGGUCCAGACUCCUACGGGAGGCAGCAGUGGGGAAUAUUGGACAAUGGGCGAAAGCCUGAUCCAGCAAUGCCGCGUGAGUGAAGAAGGCCUUAGGGUUGAAAAGCUCUUUCAGUAGGGAAGAUAAUGACGGUACCUACAGAAGAAGCACUGGCUAACUCCGUGCCAGCAGCCGCGGUAA